UCUGAAAAUGAGAAUAAUUUUUACGACUUUCAACGUUCAAACUCUUCUAUUACUGUGCAGUGUUGUAGUGUCAGAAUUGUCAACAAAGCGUCUGAAGUGGGGAUGGGCGGUCCUAGCGAAGCAUUAGAGAACCCCUCUUGCCCCGGUGCCCCUGUCCCGCGAGAUUUCUUUUCAGCGACGAACAGUAUUUCAUAAAAUAAAAUUUCAAAGAGUUUUCUUUAAUACGAUUCAGAUCCAGAAUCAGGGGGAAGAUUUUUACCUUGUCGUGUCUCGUUCUCGCAAAUAAAGGAAGGAGCUCUCAUCCUAGGUUCUAUUUUCUAUUUCACGCGUGAGAUCAUAGAAUGCCAGUGUCCGUCGAACAAUCGAACACGUUACUGACCACGGCAUACACCAGACAUGCUACUGUCUACAUAGAAGGUUGCUAUUUCCUGCUAUUAACCAGCAAACUCGAUCAGAAAGUCAAGCGAUGAUGUACGUCGCUCAUAUAAUAAGCCGAUACCAAGAGAGACUACUAACGAGCCAUCGUAGACGUAAAUCGUAAGGGGACGAAACCAGUUGCCAGGAGAAUUGCAUUUGCAUGCUGCGUAACGUGGUCGCGUAGAAAGUAAAAUGGUAAUCACCUUUGGUUAUUCUUAAUAGAGUAGACCUGACGCGAACGCACACAUGCUCCUCAUCGAAGAUUGUGUCAGUCAUUGACAAGUAUUACAUCGUUUUUGCGCGUAUUAAUAAACGUAUACAAUUUGCGUAAUAGAUUCUAUUGAAAAAGGAACGCUCAUUUGUUGACGAAGUAAUAUCAUAAUUUUUUUUAGAGAAACAUUAAGAUAAGAUAAGAUUUAUAUGAUAGAAAUUUUGUUUGUUGUAAUAUUUAUGUAAUAAAUUAUUUAGAAAUAGAACUUGGAAAUGAAGAAUUUUAAUAAAUGAUAAAGUUAUUAUUAGAUUAAAAUUUUGUUAUUAUUAGUUAUUAUAAACACAAAUUUAUGCAAGUUCGAUUAAAUAAGUAAUGGUAAACAUUAAAGAAAAAUGAUUAGGAUUUAUUAGGAUUGAAUUAAAAAGAAAUUGAUUUCUUUAUAAAUAAUAAUAUCAAGUCAAUAUACUUACGUAGAUAGUUACCAAAAUUCAUAAUCAUUUGAACCAUUGUUAUCCUAUUGAACAGAUCUUCCUGUUUUAAAUAUAACGUACGAGUUAAAUAAUUGAAAGGGGAGAUCUCCCCCUUUUUUUUGCCUUGUCCACAAUUGUAUUAUUAAUAUAUAUAUACGUAUAACGAGUAAAUUUAUUUUUAUAGUUUAAACUUAUAACUAAAAAUAAUAUUUAUAAAUACAUUAUUAAAAAUACAUUAUCUUUAUACAAUAUUUGAAUAUAUAUAAUAUAAACUUGAAAAGUUUAUAAAUACAUUUUUGUAGAAAUAUAAUUUAAUGAAAAUCUAUAUUUAUAUUGUAACUAAACCUAAAAUAUUACCAAUAUAAUUUACAAUAUUCAGGAUUUAAAAAAUACUCUUUAAUAUUUAAUUAUAUAAAUAUUAAAUAUAAAUAUCGUUUAAUUUAAAAAAAUCUUAUUUAUUUUUUUUAAAUUGUCUAGGCACAAUAGUAGGCACAGUCGUGGCUAAUAAUGUGAUGUAUAUUAUGUAAUAAAACUAUUGGAAUUUAAAAACUUAUUUUAAUCAGUAUACGUGUAGAUAAAUUUUAAUAGCUGAAGAUAAAAUGUUUGUUGAAAUCUACACGCUUUUAAUAUUUACAUAAUUUCACUUCACUUUUCUUAUUCCGUUUUCUUUUCUGUGAAUUCUUUGUUUUUCGAUUUCGAUGGGUAUAUUACGAAUAACGACAUUUGUGCCAAAGAUAAAACAAAAGCUACCGAAUUCUGAAA